rnacentral:rRNA from 1 species
UUCCGUAGGGUGAACCUGAACCUGCGGAGGGAUCAUUACCGAGUUUACAACUCCCAAACCCCUGUGAACAUACCAAUUGUUGCCUCGGCGGAUCAGCCCGCUCCCGGUAAAACGGGACGGCCCGCCAGAGGACCCCUAAACUCUGUUUCUAUAUGUAACUUCUGAGUAAAACCAUAAAUAAAUCAAAACUUUCAACAACGGAUCUCUUGGUUCUGGCAUCGAUGAAGAACGCAGCAAAAUGCGAUAAGUAAUGUGAAUUGCAGAAUUCAGUGAAUCAUCGAAUCUUUGAACGCACAUUGCGCCCGCCAGUAUUCUGGCGGGCAUGCCUGUUCGAGCGUCAUUUCAACCCUCAAGCCCCCGGGUUUGGUGUUGGGGAUCGGCGAGCCCUUGCGGCAAGCCGGCCCCGAAAUCUAGUGGCGGUCUCGCUGCAGCUUCCAUUGCGUAGUAGUAAAACCCUCGCAACUGGUACGCGGCGCGGCCAAGCCGUUAAACCCCCAACUUCUG